GGGAAGGAGACCGGAUGGAGGUGCUCGAGGCCGAGGAAGCUGGAGAUGCACAACUAGCUUCACUGGCCAUCCGGUGGUUGGAGCACGGGGCAACGCUCCAGUUGCGAUGGGGUGGAGCUGCGCAGGAGGGGAAGGAGGCUCGCGACAGGGAGCCGGGCCAGGGAGGAGGCAAGGGAAUUACGUGGUUUUGGGUUUGUGAAAUUCCACCACCCUGAGGAUGCUGCAUAUGCUAACCAAGAAAUGAAUCAUCAAGUUAUUUGCAGUCGAGAGAUUACAAUGGUUUUUGCCGAGGAGAAUAGAAAACCCCCACAAGAAAUGCGCUUCAGAAC